UACUCAUGUUUCUUUUCAGGUCGUAUAAAUCUUUCGCCUUUUACUAAAGAUUUCCGUGGAGAGGAACAACAUGAGAUUUAUUUAAUUUUUGAUACCCUGACUGUAACAGGGUU
ensembl:snRNA U5 U5 spliceosomal RNA